rnacentral:lncRNA from 1 species
AGACAUUGAGAAGUGUACAAAUUUUGAAUUGAUAUCAAUAAUUAGAUUAUUAGUUAUUGAAGUUCUAUUUGCUAUAGGAUUUAUUAAGAGUUUGUUUAAGAUUUAGAAUUUGAUUAGGGUUUGAUUUAGGAUUUGGUCUAGGAUUUGGUUAAGAUUAGAAUUUACUUAGAAUUUAGUUUAGAACUUGUUUAGGAUUUAGGAUUUCAUUAAGAUUUAGUUUAGAAUUUAUUUAGGAUUUAAAAUUUCAUUAAAGUUUCAUUAAGAUUUGACAUAAGAUUUGGUUAGGAUUAAGAUUUGCUAAGAAUUUGGUUUAAAAUUUGUUUAGAAUUUAGGAUUUUAUUAGGAUUUCAUUAAAGUUUGACAUAGGAUUUAAUUAAGUUUCAAUUAGGAUUUUAAUUAGGAUUUGACUUAAGAUUUGGUUAAAGUUUAAUUAGAGUUUUUAUUACAAUUAUAU